UGAAAAGGUGUAUGAAGUGUUACUCGCAAAGUUCAAGUUCAUCUAUUCAGCGUGAAUUCAGAUAAAUUGGAAGUUUAACAACUUGGCAGCAUUUAUCUUCUGACCUGAUGAGUGAAAAGUCUUUAAAUUUAUGUUACAGAGCCCUGACAGUGGAACUGCUUGUUAUAAAUAACAUAACCUCAUUCAUGUUACUUCAUAUAUGAUGGUCAGCAGCAAACAGGAAGCAGGCCCCAAGAAUUCUGAGAUGGUGAACACCUUGGGAUUUCAGAAUUGUAUCGUCUCUCAGGAGAUUUUAACUUAGACAUGUUGGAAACUGAACACUCAUCCUACCUUAAAUCCAUUUUAAACAGUAAACUAUGUUCACAUUACCAUGUGGUUUGAGAUAUGGCUACAGAAAGACACUUGAUUUUCUUGAAACGUGAGAAGUCUUUCUGGAAACAAUGCAUAGAUGUUUCUGUAUAAAGUAUCGAAAAAUAAAAGCCUUUCAGUUGAACAGUUUAUAUUGUGUUUUUAUUAACACAAAGAAGCUUUACAGAAAUCCAAGUAACCAAUUUAAUCAAGCUGAAUGCACCAAUGGCAAAGGAGAAAAAAUUGCAGGAACAUUAGGAAGAAAAGCUGAGAGAAACUUCACUUCACUUCACUGAGAUCAUCUGCUCAUCAUCUUACCUGCUGUUCUACAACAUAUCCAGAAACACUAAAGGUUUCGAAGUGGUUCUUCUGCCCCCUUGUGGUAAACCAUCAGCACUGCAUUGUACAGACCUACCUGAACCAUAGCUUAUUAAAGAAAAACAAUCUACUUUAUACAUCUUUAUACAUCUUAAUUGUGUACUACUACGCACUCUUUGUGACUGGUACCUUACCUUAUGUUUACAUGCUAAUGUGAAUAUAGUGUUCCUUUAAAAGUAUAUUAAUUUAAAGGUUUUUAUUCCUUACUUGUACAAGUAAUCUGGAAGAUAUGUAGAACAUGAUAAAAACAAAAACAAAAACAUAGGAUUAAGUCAUGGCUUUAGCAAAAGUUAAGGACCUUUAAGGACCACUGUUGUACCUUUAAUUAGCUUUUAGAGGAAUACUUUAAAGGUACACUUUAUACACCUUUUCAGGUACAAGAUACAUAACGGUACCAAGUGACAAGCUACAGUUCAGUACCCUUUUUUUUCUCCCCCUGAGUGUGUGUAUUUGAGUGUGUACUUGAGUAUGUACUUGAGUAUGUAGUGCCUGAUUUUUGUAGGAUAGGAACAUCUCAGCUCACAUAUCUCCAUGUUUUUUGUUUGAAACCACCCCAUUAACCCCAACAAUAAUCACACAAGGAAGCAAUUUUUCCAUCAAAUAAAGAAAAGCAGGCAGUUUUACGAGGUUCAAAUGUUUUAUUUCUCAUUGUCAUGAGUGGCAUUUCAAUGGUUCCCACAGCAUAUGACGCAGCAUGCAGAGAUGAAGAGGCCCAAACAAAAAAAAAAAAUUCAACAAAACUCCUAAGA